rnacentral:rRNA from 1 species
ACUUAAAUUGAAGAGUUUGAUCAUGGCUCAGAUUGAACGCUGGCGGCAGGCCUAACACAUGCAAGUCGAGCGGCAGCGGGAAAGUAGCUUGCUACUUUUGCCGGCGAGCGGCGGACGGGUGAGUAAUGCCUGGGGAUCUGCCCAGUCGAGGGGGAUAACUACUGGAAACGGUAGCUAAUACCGCAUACGCCCUACGGGGGAAAGCAGGGGACCU